GAGUUUGAUCUUGGCUCAGAUUGAACGCUGGCGGCAGGCCUAACACAUGCAAGUCGAGCGGUAGAGAGAAGCUUGCUUCUCUUGAGAGCGGCGGACGGGUGAGUAAUGCCUAGGAAUCUGCCUGGUAGUGGGGGAUAACGCUCGGAAACGGACGCUAAUACCGCAUACGUCCUACGGGAGAAAGCAGGGGACCUUCGGGCCUUGCGCUAUCAGAUGAGCCUAGGUCGGAUUAGCUAGUUGGUGAGGUAAUGGCUCACCAAGGCGACGAUCCGUAACUGGUCUGAGAGGAUGAUCAGUCACACUGGAACUGAGACACGGUCCAGACUCCUACGGGAGGCAGCAGUGGGGAAUAUUGGACAAUGGGCGAAAGCCUGAUCCAGCCAUGCCGCGUGUGUGAAGAAGGUCUUCGGAUUGUAAAGCACUUUAAGUUGGAGGAAGGGCAGUAAAUUAAUAACUUUGCUGUUUUGACGUUACCGACGGAAUAAGACACCGGCUAACUCUGUGCCAGCCGCCG
rnacentral:rRNA from 1 species